ACCCGCUGAAUUUAAGCAUAUCAAUAAGCGGAGGAAAAGAAACCAACAGGGAUUGCCUUAGUAACGGCGAGUGAAGCGGCAAAAGCUCAAAUUUGAAAUCGGCCACCAGGUCGAGUUGUAAUUUGUAGAUUGUAUCUUGAGAGCGGAUUAAAGUCUGUUGGAACACAGCGCCUUAGAGGGUGACAGCCCCGUAAAAUCUAUUCUCAUUGUAAGAUACUUUCGAAGAGUCGAGUUGUUUGGGAAUGCAGCUCUAAGUGGGAGGUAAAUUCCUCCUAAAGCUAAAUAUUGACGAGAGACCGAUAGCGAACAAGUACUGUGAAGGAAAGAUGAAAAGCACUUUGAAAAGAGAGUGAAAAAGUACGUGAAAUUGUUAAAAGGGAAGGGUAUUGAAUCAGACUUGGUGCUGUUGUUCAACUGUGUUUCGGCAUAGUGUACUCAGCAGUACUAGGCCAAGGUGGGGUGUUUGGGAGUGAAAAAGAAGUUGGAACGUAACUCUUCGGAGUGUUAUAGCCUACUUUCAUAGCUCCUCAGGCGCCUCAGGACUGCGCUUCGGCAAGGACCUUGGCAUAAUGAUUCUAUACCGCCCGUCUUGAAACACGGACCAAGGAG
rnacentral:rRNA from 1 species